CUCACUCUCUGUGUGUCUUGUUUCAUAUUCUUUCACUCUGUCUCUGCCUCUCUGUUUCAUCUUUUUCUUUCUGUCUGAAUGAGAAGAAAUCUUUUUGAUCUCCUUCCCCCAACCCCCACACUCUCUGCUAUGAGUUGGAAAAUCAAUGGCUGUGUCAAAGUAGAUCCCUCCUGGCCCAGGAGAGAUCACAGAAAUAGAACCAGAAAAAACUGAAGCUGAACCUCCUUAUUUUGUGGAUGGGGAUACUGAGGCCCAGGGAGAAUAACGGAGUGGAAUUUGAAUUCAGGUCCUUCAACCCGAGAGUCCAUGCUCUUUUUCCUAGUGUAUCCAUCUGAUCAGAAAAAAGCAGAGGUAUCUUUUUAUUUGAUCUUCACAACAACUUUAUGAAGUAGAUGCUGUGGCUAUCUCCAUUCUUCAUAUGAUCAUGGAAACUGAGGCACAGAGAAGUGAUUUUCUCUGAAUCAUGCAACUAAUUAGUGAUUAAGGCUUUGAGCCUUCUCUCUGGUUGUCUUCCUGAUCUGGAACUCUCUCUUUCAUCUCAACUACUGAAUUCCCUGGCUUCCUAACUUGAAUCCAGAUCUUCAGGAAUCUAAGGACAGCACAUGGGUAUCUACAAUAUUACCAACAGACUAAAGGAAGAAGAUGACUCUUAAAGACUAAUAAGAAGGAAAAAAGCAGAGAAAUCUUAAGGAGAAUAAUCUUUCAAAUGAAAAGGAAAGAAAAAAUAGAACUAAAGAGAUGUUGAUUCACAAGACAAGAAAGUGUCUCACUGCCUUUGACGACUUCAGGUCACCAAGCCAUUAUGAAUGAAUCUUUGGAUACCAAAUUAACAGGCAGGCAUCAUUGUUGGGGUCAGCAGCAGCAGCACCUGGAAUGGAUCUUCCCAAUCUGGUUGAGUUCUACCAGUCCAAUCCACUGCAAGUUCUUGAUGAUAGACGUAAUCACCAGAAUGAAAAUUGUGCAGCAACAAGUAUAAAGGAUCCAUUAAAGCAGUGACAUCGCCACCUGUGAGAUUAUAACCUUUAAAAAGUUGUUUGAAAUUGAGUGAUAACAGAUACAGGAUCUUCAUCAAAUUUGGGAGUGUCUCUCCUCCACACAGAAAGAUCAGAUGGACUAACAGGCUGUAUUCAAGAAUGAUAUUGAGAUGCCUCUCGCAGAUGAUUAUCAUUUUGGCCGUGGGACACAACACUCUUACACAUUAUACAGACCAGCAUGGGCUUGUGGUGAGAAUCAUGGAAAUAAAGCAUCUUAAAAGUUGGAGCAACUAAGGGGAUGUACUGUAUCCUUUUGAGUAAUGGAAGCCUAUGAAGGUGGAUAGAGAUGGAAUGGAAAUCGGACACAACUCAAUCAUUACUUGUGUAAUAUGAAGGAAGAGACACAAAAGACUGAGAUGCAAAAAUGAGGACAAGAGGAGAAGUAUCAGGUAUAUCUGGAACCACUUGUGGAGGUAAAGAUUCAAGUGAGUAAAAAGCUGGAAAUGCCAGGGCUGGUAUUGGUGGUCACUGUGGAAAAGGAGGUAGAUGUGGCCAGGGGACAACCUCAAAAAGAAAAUGUAUGGCAGUCAAAGGAGCUUGUUGAUAGGGCUCUUUUAUGUUCAGACAAUCAUUUAUGAGCAAGGUUGCCUAAGUGUGUGAGACAUUCAACAGUUGUAAGAUAUUUGCCUAAACCAAGAUGCAUGCUCUUGAGGUAGUACUUCUUCAAACAACAUAUUGUAUAAUUUAGACAGUCAGUCAUUGUUUCUCCAUCUUAAACCAUCCUCUUUGCUGCAGUUUUGAAGAAAUGCCCAAAGCUGUCACAACAUAGGGCCCCAUAAGGAUAACUGCAAGCAAACCCACUAUAGACCAGAAAGAAAGAUCAAUUGUUGGAGAGUUUCAUUAAUGCAAGGCAAGAUGUCCCAAUGUUAAAGAAGAACCAGUAAUUUAUUGGAAUGAUACUCCAGGAGUGUGGUAAAUCAGGCAAAAAAAAGAGAAAAACAAGUGGAUUAAGGAGAGAUGGUCGGUAAAGUGAAGGGCAAGACUUUUGUUCUCCUUUGGGCCAGAUUCAGGUAACUGGAAUAGCUGGUCAAGUUUCUACAGUAGGAUCCUCAAAGGAAUCUUCGGUAGUUCUCCACAAACUCCACAAUGAUCCUGUUGAAGCAAUCCUUACUUGUCAUGCACGGGCUUGGAAAAGACAGCAAUUAAGUAAAGAAAUCCAGUUAAGUGUGGGGAAGACAAAGCACCCUGUGAGUUCUAACUACAGAGAAGAGCAGUGGGAGUAGUAAGCAGAAUCUGGAAUGGGCUUUCCCAAGAAGGCUGAGUCCCAGAAAUCAUGCAGUAAGAAGUUCAAAGAUCCAGUUCAUACUACUACUGCAUUGUGAAGUUCUUUCAAUCUAUUCUGGAGUUCUCAUAUGUAGGAGGUAACAGAAGAUUACCCAUGGAGAAUGAUUAUUUCAUCAGGGAGAAGAGUUUUACACUUAUAGGACAGUGACCAAAAAAAAAUUUUUCAUAAAGUAAAAUAUGUGACCCUCCCACCCCUGGUCUGCUGUAGGAUAGAACAAAGCCAAAGGAAGCACCAAUUAGGGAAUGCCUCAACCCACUGAGUAAGAUGGUCAAUAAAGACAAGACAGUAUUUAUAAUCUGCUUUGGACAUAUCAACAAACUCAAUCUAAGUGUUCAAAAGGAGUCUAAACUAAAGGAUGGUCUCCAAAGGUUACAGCUCAAAAUGUGUUGAAUAAAAGGUAGGCAAGUGACUUAAAGCAGUCCAGCCAUGCCUAACUGAAUCUAUUAUCCCUAUUAUUCUUAUUGAGCUCCUUUUAUGAACAAAAAGACCUGACGAAAAUCUGGGGGAGGAGCAGCUAACCUUCCUCAAUCACCCAAACUCUAGAGAUUUACUAAGCCUUUUAGCAUCACUGUAAGGAACAUUACAGAAGACAAUUUGUUUCCCCAAAAUUACCUGAGAUUGUUUACAUCACUUGAUAUCAGUUAUUAGUAAAGAGAGAGUGCUCAGUAGAUAAUGGUAAAUCAUUGAGAGGUUGUAAGAUGAUCUUUCUAGAGCAGCUAACUUUGCAGAGGAAUCAGCCUGGGCAAUUCUACAAGAAAUGGGGUCAAUUCUAGUCUUAUGAGUAGAACAAUGGACAGCUUACCAAGAAUUUAGGUCAUUGAACAAAAGAAUGAAUAUCUGUAAUAAAGCAGUAUUGGCAAUUUUAACACAGUAAGCUAAGAAUCCACAUUGCAACAACAUCCUGACAUGACAAUUAUCAAAAGCACAGUAAGAAUCCGUAUAGAUGGCAGCAAAAUGACAGGCUUGAGUAAGGGCAAUGAGCUAAGUAGCCUGGACACUCAGGUUAGAGAGCAUUGAAGCUGCCCAAAGUAUGUUAUGGUCAGAGAUAACAGAGGCUCCAGUGUAGUGGUUGCCAUCUUCCAUGAAAGAAGUCUCACGAGUAUGAAAAAGUCUGAUUUCCUAAAAACCCAAGUGGUCAAUAAUUGAGGUAUAGUCUUACUUCCCAAAGAUAGAUCAGGGAGCACUAUCGCAGAAUUGAAAACAGAACAUUAUAAAAGUGACACACUUUCCUUAAGUCAUUUUCAACCCACACCGGUCUCUGAUCAAAAAAGAGUUGGAUACAAUAACAUUGCAAUAAACUCUCUACUGAAGGCAUUAUAUUAAG